AGUUCACGUAGUUGUCCCUGUGAACAUGUUCUACCAUGGGGCAGUGGAUUACUUGCCUUGGGCAGCUGCCCAUGCAAGGCAAGGAAAGUCUAAGAAAUGUUAUUUCUUUCCACCCCUUCAUUUUACACUCUUCUUCCCAACUCUUCCCUAGGUAAAAUCACCCUUGGAUUAACUGUAAGUGCUCUCAGCCAUGGUCUUUGGAGUACAUUUGAAGCAGUUCCAUCAACUCAGCUCUUGGUCUCUUAAGCACAGGACUUCAUAGCUCAGCAGGUAGUGUGCUGCCAUCCUGAAGAGUGAGUGGCAUGAGGAGAUGGCUUCUGAAGACAAGUGGGAGAAAAAAAAACAGGCUUAGCACAACAUGUUGCAGAGAAACAACUUCAAAGUUUUAAUCAUCAAUACUGACAUUUAACCCUACCGGAAAAAAUGUCACAAACUGUGAAAUCCAAUGUGCUACACAUCCGUGUACCUGUUACUUGAGUGAGUAAUUACUGUGGGAGUGACAGUCCCAUUACCAGGUCUUGGACAGGUAAAAACUGAGCUGGAGCUACAUGGUCACUGAAGAAUGAAAUAUCAACAAGGUAUUGCGUUGGACUUACUUCACUUUCAGCUUGGUUGUAAUCUUCAGGCACUGUGAUUUGUAUUUUUUACAAGAAUAUGAGCCCUUUGCAGCUCUAUCUGCUCCCUUCAAAGAGUGUGGGAUGUAAUGUGUGUCUGUUGCUAGUGAUAUUUUUCUUUCUAAUUCAGUAUGGUUUGAAUAUGAUGGAGUUCAGUUCUUGCUGCUUUUUUGCAGAGCUGUCAUUCUGAUAUGUUUGUGGGUUGUUGUUGUUUUGGGGUUUAUUUUUGCUGUGUGUAAUGAUAUCUGAAUAACCCUGGUGUAUCCUUUCUCCCCCAUGUAAUCUCUAAUAUUGGCCAUUCUGCACUGCACUACUUGGAGAUUUUACUUCAGUCCUGUCAGCCACACAGCUCAUCCUGUCACUGGCCUCCUGCUGGUAAGACUGACAAUGCCAGACUGCACAUCUCACCCUCAAAAGAGGAAGGGGGGAGAAAACAUCCCAGAGAUAUAUUUCCUCUGAAGCUUUUAUUAAAAUCAAUCUUGCUCACCUG